rnacentral:sRNA from 1 species
GGCAGAGGUGGGCUGUAGAGCCAAAGUGGGGUGGGAGCGCGAAGAUGGCAGCUGCUGAGGAGGAGCCGAAGCCCAAAAAGCUGAAGGUGGAGGCGCCGCAAGCGCUGAGCCUUGCUACUCAGCCUGGCCCACAGACCAGAAGCAACUGGUGAGAUGUGGGAACAUAAAGAAAUGCAAAGUUUUGGUCACUGAUACCUGCAGUGCCAAACCUGCAUUUUAACAAGAUCCACGAGAUUUGUAUGCAUGUUAAAGUUUGAAAAGCACUGAUGGUUUGAAAUGUGGAUUAUCUAUCAACAUUUUCCACAAGAGAAGAGAAAAUAUUCUCUUUGGAAUGGGAAAUCCUCUGCUUGACAUCUCUGCUGUAGUGGACAAAGAUUUCCUUGAUAAGUAUUCUCUGAAACCAAAUGACCAAAUCUUGGCUGAAGACAAACACAAGGAACUGU